UUCGGGGCGCUGACGAGUGGCGAACGGGUGAGUAACACGUGGAAACCUAUCCCGGGGCGGGGGGCAACAGUUGGAAACGACUGCUAAUACCGCAUAAGCCCUACGGGGGAAAGAUUUAUCACCCUGGGAGGGGUCCGCGUUGGAUUAGCUAGUUGGUGGGGUAACGGCCUACCAAGGCGACGAUCCAUAGCUGGUCUGAGAGGAUGAUCAGCCACACUGGGACUGAGACACGGCCCAGACUCCUACGGGAGGCAGCAGUGGGGAAUAUUGCGCAAUGGGGGCAACCCUGACGCAGCGAUGCCGCGUGAGUGAAGAAGGCCUUCGGGUUGUAAAGCUCUUUCAGUAGGGACGAUUGUGACGGUACCUACAGAAGAAGCUCCGGCUAACUCCGUGCCAGCAGCCGCGGUAAUACGGAGGGGGCGAGCGUUGUUCGGAAUUACUGGGCGUAAGGGCGCGUAGGCGGUUUGGCAAG
rnacentral:rRNA from 1 species